rnacentral:rRNA from 1 species
GGACUACCGGGGUAUCUAAUCCUGUUUGCUCCCCACGCUUUCGCACCUCAGCGUCAGUACCGGACCAGUGAGCCGCCUUCGCCACUGGUGUUCUUCCUAAUAUCUACGAAUUUCACCUCUACACUAGGAAUUCCACUCACCUCUUCCGGACUCGAGAUUGCCAGUAUCAAAGGCAGUUCCGAGGUUGAGCCUCGGGAUUUCACCCCUGACUUAACAAUCCGCCUACGUGCGCUUUACGCCCAGUAAUUCCGAACAACGCUAGUCCCCUCCGUAUUACCGCGGCGGCUGGCAC